rnacentral:rRNA from 1 species
UACGGAGGGAGCUAGCGUUGUUCGGAAUUACUGGGCGUAAAGCGCACGUAGGCGGAUAUUUAAGUCAGGGGUGAAAUCCCGGGGCUCAACCCCGGAACUGCCUUUGAUACUGGGUAUCUGGAGGUCGAGAGAGGCGAGUGGAAUUCCGAGUGUAGAGGUGAAAUUCGUAGAUAUUCGGAGGAACACCAGUGGCGAAGGCGGCUCGCUGGCUCGAUACUGACGCUGAGGUGCGAAAGCGUGGGGGGCAAACAGG